UCCCCAGCAAGGUCUGGAGCCACCCCCUCAUCAAACACACUAUUUUUGUUUUGAAACAUAAGGACACCCCCACUCAGUGGGAUGAAGGAAGAAUCCACAGAGCCAUCUCACGCAGGAUGGGUUAGCAAGCAAUUCCAUAUAGAUUGGUGACCUGAGGCUGCAUUAAGAAGAAAGAGUGAAGAUGAAUUUGGGUUUGAUGGGGUGGGGACAAGUGUGGAAGAAGUGUUAUUCGUUGAGGCAACUUCAAGUAUGGAGGUAACUAAGACAGGCAGGUGGGCUCCAUGUUGACUCAUUCUAAGAGGAGAAAACUGAAGUACAUGAUGAUGGUGUGGCUGGUUCUGUCGCCUGUGGACUGUCAGUUUCACACCUGUAGUUACUUUAAAGCUGAUAUUAUGCUGCUACCCUUUGGGAUGCUUGAGAAACCGCCAUGGCCAAGAGGACAACUGUCUGGCUAAAAGUGAAAUCUACCUAAAGUUAUAGAUAUGAGAGGGACAUCUUCUCUCUACAAGGAGACCACAGGGUGAGCUCCAUGAAUGACAUAAAAGGCAAGACCCAAGGGCAGGAGUCUCAACCGCAGCGCCAGGUGGAGGCUCACAGCAAACAUGGCAGGAUUGUCAGUCACCACCCACUGCCCUCAAAGAGGGUCCAGCGCUGAGAAGAAAGCCCGCUGUGGCGUAUUGAAUGGUGGCCCUAAACAAGUUCAUCUGAGUCUCUGUGAAUAUGACCUUCUUUGGAGAAAGGGUCUUUGCAGAUAUAAUCAAGGAUUUUGAUAUGAAAUCAUUCUGGAUUAUCCAGGAGAAUACAGGUGAAUCUUAAGUUAAACAGCAAAUGUCUUUAUAAGAGAGGAACAGAGGAGACUAUAAGACAGGAACAAAAUGACAGAGAUGUAGAGGAGAAGCUCACGCACACACGGCCUCAAACCAAGGGGAGCCUGGAUCCCCAGGAGCUGGGGGAGGCAGCAAGGAUUCCCCCAGGGUCUUCAGAGUGAGCAGGCCCUGCUGGCGUCUUGGUGUUGAACAGUGGGAGAAUAGAUUUCUGUCCCCUUAAGCUGUGCAGAUAGUGGUGAUUUCUUAGGACUCUGGCGCGCCUGCCUGACUUCCUGUCCACCAUCUUCACAAGCCUCUUGGGUCUGAGCAGCCAUCCCCUUCGCUGAGUUGCCACAGAGGAACCGGCUCACUCACCUGACGGCAGCCUUGCCUCCCUCCUCGUGUCCUUCCCGGUUCCCACAGUGGAGGGAUCAUGGAUGGAGCACUAUGUUUGGAUCUAUCAUUGUGUUCUGUGCCAUCCCAGGCAAGUCACCUGGGCCAGGAAGAUGAUGCCCAGGGGAGCGAGGGGUGCCUGCCCUCCCCAUCCAACCCUGCUUAAGGACCAAAGAGGAAAGGGUAGCUGCUCCCGGGCCAACGGUGAUGUUCCAUGAGCUUGAUUGACUCAGGCGCGAGCCCUUCAGAGGCCUGAGCACCAGGGAACUCCCCCUACCUUUAUCAGGGCAACCGGAUGGACACAAGCUCCAGCUUCCCCCUCCUGUGGGCCUGACCAUGGGCAGGUGGAACACCCUGUCACUUGAGCAUCUGUGGGCAGUCAUGACUGGGGCUGUCGGAGCACCCACUGCUCUUCUGUGUCUCUCUGGACCCUGGCUCUGUACCAUUGCCUGUCACCUGUGCUGGUCCCCAAACCCCCUCUAGGACCUGGGGUCAUGGGGAAAACAGGCAUGCUUCUUCCUCAGGCCAGAUGUGCUUUCCAAAAGGCUAAGUGACUUUCUCAAUAUCUCAAUGUCACGCGGCUGUGAAAUGAUAGGGCUAGUGGUUUAGGCAGGUUUGCUUGUCUCUGAAACUCAUUCUUUCUGGUGCAGACCCUUUGCCUCUCACUUCACACCAAAGGAGAACAGCAAUGCUGCCCAACCCAGUGGCAAAUAAACAAAGCAAAUGAAUAGAUAAGUUAUGCAAAUUUUAGAGUUAGUACACCAAAUUUUCUCGAUUUUUUUUGGCAUUAUAAAUAUUUCUUAAACCUUUGA